AGCGGCGGACGGGUGAGUAAUGCCUGGGAAAUUGCCCUGAUGUGGGGGAUAACCAUUAGAAACGAUGGCUAAUACCGCAUAAUAGCUUCGGCUCAAAGAGGGGGACCUUCGGGCCUCUCGCGUCAGGAUAUGCCCAGGUGGGAUUAGCUAGUUGGUGAGGUAAUGGCUCACCAAGGCGACGAUCUCUAGCUGGUCUGGGAGGAUGAUCAGCCACACUGGAACUGAGACACGGUCCAGACUCCUACGGGAGGCAGCAGUGGGGAAUAUUGCACAAUGGGCGCAAGCCUGAUGCAGCCAUGCCGCGUGUAUGAAGAAGGCCUUCGGGUUGUAAAGUACUUUCAGCAGUGAGGAAGGUGGGUAUGUUAAUAGCAUAUUCAUUUGACGUUAGCUGCAGAAGAAGCACCGGCUAACUCCGUGCCAGCAGCCGCGGUAAUACGGAGGGUGCGAGCGUUAAUCGGAAUUACUGGGCGUAAAGCGCAUGCAGGUGGUUUGUUAAGUCAGAUGUGAAAGCCCGGGGCUCAACCUCGGAAUUGCAUUUGAAACUGGCAAA
rnacentral:rRNA from 1 species